rnacentral:rRNA from 1 species
UACGGAGGGGGCUAGCGUUGUUCGGAAUUACUGGGCGUAAAGCGCGCGUAGGCGGCUUUGCAAGUCAGAGGUGAAAGCCCGGGGCUCAACCCCGGAAUUGCCUUUGAGACUGCAUCGCUAGAAUUGUGGAGAGGUAAGUGGAAUUCCGAGUGUAGAGGUGAAAUUCGUAGAUAUUCGGAAGAACACCAGUGGCGAAGGCGACUUACUGGACACAUAUUGACGCUGAGGUGCGAAAGCGUGGGGAGCAAACAGG